rnacentral:rRNA from 1 species
GAGUUUGAUCAUGGCUCAGAGCAAACGCUGGCGGCGUGCCUAAUACAUGCAAGUCGAACGGGGAAAGGCUUCGGCCGAGUACUAGUGGCGCACGGGAGAGUAACACGUGGGUAAUCUACCUUCAGGAGAAGAAUAACCAGUCGAAAGAUUGGCUAAUACUUCGUAUGACCACAGGGACUAAUGUCCCAGGGGUAAAAGAUUUAUCACCUGAAGAUGAGCCUGCGUCCCAUUAGCUAGUUGGUGAGGUAAUGGCUCACCAAGGCAACGAUGGGUAGCUGGUCUGAGAGGAUGAUCAGCCUCACUGGAACUGAAACACGGUCCAGACUCCUACGGGAGGCAGCAGUAGGGAAUAUUGCACAAUGGGCGCAAGCCUGAUGCAGCGACGCCGCGUGAGUGAUGACGGUCUUCGGAUUGUAAAGCUCUGUUCUCAGGGAAUAAGAAAGUGAAUGUACCUGAGGAGAAAGCACCGGCUAACUUCGUGCCAGCAGCCGCGGUA